rnacentral:rRNA from 1 species
GAUGAACGCUAGCGGCAGGCCUAACACAUGCAAGUCGAGGGGUAGAAGGAGCUCGCUCCUUUGAGACCGGCGCACGGGUGCGUAACGCGUAUGCAAUCUACCUUUUACAGAGGGAUAGCCCAGAGAAAUUUGGAUUAAUACCUCAUAGUAUAUAUCAUUCGCAUGUUUGGUAUAUUAAAGUUCCAACGGUAAAAGAUGAGCAUGCGUCCCAUUAGUUAGUUGGUAAGGUAACGGCUUACCAAGACGAUGAUGGGUAGGGGUCCUGAGAGGGGGAUCACCCACACUGGUACUGAGACACGGGCCAGACGCCUGCGGGAGGCAGCAGUGAGGAAUAUUGGUCAAUGGACGCAAGUAUGAACCAGCCAUGCCGCGUGCAGGAAGACGGUCCUAUGGAUUGUAAACUGCUUUUGUACGGGAAGAAACACUCCUACGUGUAGGAGCCUGACGGUACCGUAAGAAUAAGGAUCGGCUAACUCCGUGCCAGCAGCCGCAGUAA